rnacentral:rRNA from 1 species
GUGGGGAAUCUUCCGCAAUGGGCGAAAGCCUGACGGAGCAACGCCGCGUGAGUGAUGACGGCCUUCGGGUUGUAAAGCUCUGUUAUAUGGGACGAACGGGCAUGGGGCGAAUACCCUCAUGCAGUGACGGUACCGUAAGAGAAAGCCACGGCUAACUACGUGCCAGCAGCCGCGGUAAUACGUAGGUGGCAAGCGUUGUCCGGAAUUAUUGGGCGUAAAGGGCGUGUAGGCGGCCAGACAAGUCUGUCUUAAAAGUGCGGGGCUCAACCCCGUGAUGGGAUGGAAACUGUCGGGCUAGAGUGUCGGAGAGGAAAGCGGAAUUCCUAGUGUAGCGGUGAAAUGCGUAGAUAUUAGGAGGAACACCAGUGGCGAAAGCGGCUUUCUGGACGACAACUGACGCUGAGGCGCGAAAGCCAGGGGAGCAAACGGGAUUAGAUACCCGUGUAGUCC